rnacentral:rRNA from 1 species
AUGAACGCUGGCGGCGUGCCUAAUACAUGCAAGUCGAGCGAACAGACGAGGAGCUUGCUCCUCUGACGUUAGCGGCGGACGGGUGAGUAACACGUGGAUAACCUACCUAUAAGACUGGGAUAACUUCGGGAAACCGGAGCUAAUACCGGAUAAUAUAUUGAACCGCAUGGUUCAAUAGUGAAAGACGGUUUUGCUGUCACUUAUAGAUGGAUCCGCGCCGCAUUAGCUAGUUGGUAAGGUAACGGCUUACCAAGGCAACGAUGCGUAGCCGACCUGAGAGGGUGAUCGGCCACACUGGAACUGAGACACGGUCCAGACUCCUACGGGAGGCAGCAGUAGGGAAUCUUCCGCAAUGGGCGAAAGCCUGACGGAGCAACGCCGCGUGAGUGAUGAAGGUCUUCAGAUCGUAAAACUCUGUUAUUAGGGAAGAACAAAUGUGUAAGUAACUAUGCACGUCUUGACGGUACCUAAUCAGAAAGCCACGGCUAACUACGUG